CGCUCAGCCUGAGGCCACAGACUCAAAGAGGUGUUUUGAAUCAGUGGCAUUCACAUUAUUUAUUAUGUUCUGCGUGUCCACUGACGCAGACGAGCUGUCAGCUGACCAGCUCACACCUGCAGUCCCUGAGAGUCGUUCCUGCUGAAGGCCACAACUCGCAUGCAACAUACUUCUUAGGACGCAUUGACAGACUGGACCAUCCAAAGGACAGAAUAGCCAUCUGGCGUCCACGUGUGCGUGUGCAACAGGGACCAUUAUUGGACAUUUGCCAGUGUCCCUCGAUCAAGAGCACACACUGCAGGAGGAUGAGGAGGCACUGAAGCACUGAACUCCUCUCAGCUGCAGGCCAUGGAUAUAAAGACUUGUACUCAGAGUGCAUGGCUGCUUCCUCAGCCACUACAACAUCUGGAAACUGGUGGUACAGCAGAAACUGCAGCAGGUGCGUGUGCUGGAGGAGGACGUGUGGUCUGAGCACAGGUUUUGCAGCAGGCUGGUUUCCUUUAUGGACGACGACGUGGGACUCGACUGGGACCUGAGUUAUGUGGGUCAUAAGUGGCUGCAGAUGAAAGUCCUUGGUGAAGGGACUCUUGUGCACCCAGGAUAUUCCUACUGGACUUUGGGUUAAUUCCUGUCUCUGCACGAGGCCACAAAGCUUCUGCAGGCAGAACCUAGACACAAAAUACUACCUACAAUGUUCAAUGAGCAUCCAAAAGACGCGUACAUGCAGCAUUAUGAGCAGAGGGAACUGAGAGCAUUUUCAGCUGAGCCUCUGGUGCUCUUCCCCACGGCUACGUCAGCAACAGGGAGACGUCCACCAUCUGGAACGAUGAGGCAGUGGAAACAGACUGGGACAGAGACGGGGCCAAACACCAACGUGGGCAGGAAACUGAGGGACCAGGGUUUCACCAUGUGGCUCCUCAAUCCGCUUGUGGCGGGCGUGUCUUCCCUCUCUGCCACUGGAGACAGAAAUGAACUCUGAGGAAGACUCAACAUAUACUGUACCUUCACACAUACAUACACACACCGACAACCUCAGAUUAGCUGUUGGUUCCCUUUAUUUUUUACUUUGAUAAAGGGUCGGGUUCCAGACAAAGUAAAUCAGAAACUCAAAGAGUGCAUUUUUGUCGGCAUAGACAAUAUCAUUUUCUUCAACAGUAAUAACAAAACAUAAAUAUAGAAUACAUAGUGAAUGUCUUUUUGAUUCAAGUGUUUGUUGUUUUCUGCCCAUAAAUAUUUUUAAAACCAUAAUUCAAACUAUAAAUCACAAUCAGCCAGGUGUAAAACCCAAUCUUUAACAAAUAUUUGUAUCUGAUUUGAACAUUUUAACUUGAUAAUCUUUUUUGCCCGUACUGGAAAAACUCAUUUUCUAUAUUUUUAAACACACAUUGCUGCCACAAGAUUGACUGAAAAGUUUCACAUUUUCGCAUAUUCACAUAUUUGUUUUUUUUUUUACAAAACAUGGCUUUAAAUUAUAUAACUUUAUAUAUUAUAUAUAUAUUUAGUACUGCCUGAAUUGACCAUAUGUAGGUAAUAAUGCCAAUACACUAAAUACAAUAUAUCCUAAUAUAAAUGGCAUUGAAUGAGAAGGAGAAACACAAGUAACCUUUGUUGUAACUGUGGCAGAAACAUGCAACCGUUGUUUGUUUGUGUUGUGAAUAAGAGCUAAGUUAAGCCCCUAAGACGCAGCAUGUAAUGUUGUAUCCCUGGGUAUGCCCACUUAUUCAAGUGAUAAAGAGACUAUAAAGUGUGGUGUAAAAUGUAUUUUCAAUUGUUAUUAUACUUUAACUCAGAAAAUCAGCCGAGCCACUCAACCCACUUAAAUACCCAUCUUUUUUUUAAACUUAGAAAAGAAAUGAACACCACGAUCAACUUAAGA